CAGCAGCCGCGGUGAUACAUAGGGGGCGAGCGUUGUCCGGAUUUACUGGGCGUAAAGAGCUCGUAGGCGGUUUGCCAAGUUAGAAGUGAAAUCUCCAGGCUUAACCUGGAGCGGCCUUUUAAAACUGGUAUGACUUGAGUAUGGUAGAGGAGUGUGGAAUUCCCGGUGUAGCGGUGAAAUGCGCAGAUAUCGGGAGGAACACCUAUGGCGAAGGCAGCACUCUGGGCCAAAACUGACGCUGAGGAGCGAAAGCGUGGGGAGCGAACAGGAUUAGAUACCCUGGUAGUCCACGCCGUAAACGGUGGACACUAGGUGUGGGAUGCGAUCAACGCAUUCCGUGCCGCAGUUAACGCAUUAAGUGUCCCGCCUGGGGAGUACGAUCGCAAGAUUAAAACUCAAAGGAAUUGACGGGGGCCCGCACAAGCGGUGGAGUAUGUGGUUUAAUUCGAUGCAACGCGAAGAACCUUACCUGGUUUUGACAUGUAGGGUAACGGAAUGAAAGUUCCUGAUCCUUCGGGAUCCUACACAGGUGGUGCAUGGCC
rnacentral:rRNA from 1 species